UAUACACGUGUGUAUGGCAUACACAAUAUCAUACUAUAAUAGAUAUUUAACUCGAAUAUAAAUAUAAUUACAAUUAUUUUUUUUUUUUUACCAGCUUUAUUACUUGAUCCUACAAAUAAACAUUUAAUCGCUUAGAUUUCUCUACAUUCUAAUAAUCUAUUUCAAUAAUACCGUGUUUUUAGCAAACGAUUAUUAUUUUAAAAUCUACGGCGAUGAUAGGUGCAAUCACAGUGGCGUGUUUUACAGGAGAUUUAAAGAUACAAUUAAUCAUAAUAAUUAUCGAUCAAAUUGGACACCAAAUCUCUGCAGCGAAUUGCUAUAUUCUUGUUACAGCGGUCUUAUCAAAUUAAAAAUUCUAAAUAUGUUACAACAUAACGUAAGUAUCAAAAUUAAAUUAUUAGGGUAUUUUUACAAGAAGAUAUUUUUCGAUAGUAUUAUCAAAUAGAGCGGCCAUUUAUAUUAUGUCGAUUAAUAUGCUUUAUUGAUCGGUUAAUAAAAUAAAAUCGUUAAACUAAAAUGUGUUUUAUGAUUUAAAUAAUUGCAUUUUUGUUUACG